rnacentral:rRNA from 1 species
CCCUUAGAUGUUCUGGGCCGCACGCGCGCUACACUGAUGCAUUCAACGAGUCUAAAACCUGGUCUGAUAGGGCUGGGUAAUCUUUUGAAUGUGCAUCAUGAUUGGGAUAGAUGAUUGCAAUUCUUCAUCUUCAACGAGGAAUGCCUAGUAAACGCAAGUCAUCAGCUUGCAUUGAUUACGUCCCUGCCCUUUGUACACACCGCCCGUCGCUCCUACCGAUUGAAUGUUCCGAUGAAUACCAUGGACUGAGAGUAUGAAUGGGUUCGCCUAUUUCUGCUUCUCGGGAAGUGGAGUAAAUCUUAACAUUUAGAGGAAGGAGAAGUCGUAACA